GAUUAAGCCAUGCAUGUCUAAGUAUAAGCAAUUAUACCGUGAAACUGCGAAUGGCUCAUUAAAUCAGUUAUCGUUUAUUUGAUAGUACCUUACUACUUGGAUAACCGUGGUAAUUCUAGAGCUAAUACAUGCUGAAAACCCCAACUUCGGGAGGGGUGUAUUUAUUAGAUAAAAAACCAACGCCCUUCGGGGCUUCUGGUGAUUCAUGAUAACUUCACGGAUCGCAUGGCCUUGCGCCGGCGACGGUUCAUUCAAAUUUCUGCCCUAUCAACUUUCGAUGGUAAGGUAUUGGCUUACCAUGGUUUCAACGGGUAACGGGGAAUUAGGGUUCGAUUCCGGAGAGGGAGCCUGAGAAACGGCUACCACAUCCAAGGAAGGCAGCAGGCGCGCAAAUUACCCAAUCCCGACACGGGGAGGUAGUGACAAUAAAUACUGAUACAGGGCUCUUUUGGGUCUUGUAAUUGGAAUGAGUACAAUUUAAACCUCUUAACGAGGAACAAUUGGAGGGCAAGUCUGGUGCCAGCAGCCGCGGUAAUUCCAGCUCCAAUAGCGUAUAUUAAAGUUGUUGCAGUUAAAAAGCUCGUAGUUGAAACUUGGGCCUGGCUGGCAGGUCCGCCUCACCGCGUGUACUUGUCCGGCCGGGCCUUUCCUUCUGGAGAACCUCAUGCCCUUCACUGGGUGUGUUGGGGAACCAGGACUUUUACUUUGAAAAAAUUAGAGUGUUCAAAGCAGGCCUUUGCUCGAAUACGUUAGCAUGGAAUAAUAGAAUAGGACGUGCGGUCCUAUUUUGUUGGUUUCUAGGACCGCCGUAAUGAUUAAUAGGGACAGUCGGGGGCAUCAGUAUUCAAUUGUCAGAGGUGAAAUUCUUGGAUUUAUUGAAGACUAACUACUGCGAAAGCAUUUGCCAAGGAUGUUUUCAUUAAUCAGUGAACGAAAGUUAGGGGAUCGAAGACGAUCAGAUACCGUCGUAGUCUUAACCGUAAACUAUGCCGACUAGGGAUCGGGCGAUGUUCUUUUUCUGACUCGCUCGGCACCUUACGAGAAAUCAAAGUUUUUGGGUUCUGGGGGGAGUAUGGUC
rnacentral:rRNA from 1 species